UACGUAGGGGGCGAGCGUUGUCCGGAAUGACUGGGCGUAAAGGGUGCGUAGGUGGUCAUGUAAGUCAGUAGUGAAAUUCCGAGGCUUAACUUCGGCGCUACUACUGAUACUAUAUGACUUGAGUGCAGGAGGGGCAAAUGGAAUUCCUAGUGUAGCGGUGGAAUGCGUAGAUAUUAGGAGGAACACCAGUGGCGAAGGCGAUUUGCCGGACUGUAACUGACACUGAGUCACGAAAGCGUGGGGAGCAAACAGG
rnacentral:rRNA from 1 species